rnacentral:rRNA from 1 species
UACAGAGGGUGCGAGCGUUGUCCGGAAUCACUGGGCGUAAAGGGCGCGUAGGCGGUCUCUUAAGCGUGUGGUGAAAGCCCGGGGCUCAACUCCGGGUCGGCCGUGCGAACUGGGGGACUGGAGCUUGUCAGAGGCAGGCGGAAUUCCGGGUGUAGCGGUGGAAUGCGUAGAGAACCGGAAGAACACCGGUGGCGAAGGCGGCCUGCUGGGACAGUGCUGACGCUGAGGCGCGAAAGCGUGGGGAGCAAACAGG